GCGGACGGGUGAGUAAUGUCUGGGAAACUGCCUGAUGGAGGGGGAUAACUACUGGAAACGGUAGCUAAUACCGCAUAACGUCGCAAGACCAAAGAGGGGGACCUUCGGGCCUCUUGCCAUCGGAUGUGCCCAGAUGGGAUUAGCUAGUACGUGGGGUAACCGGCUCACUUUAGGCGAAGAUCCCUAGCUGGUCUGAGAGGAUGACCAGCCACACUGGAACUGAGACACGGUCCAGACACCUACGGGAGAGCAGCAAGUGGGGAAUAUUGCACAAUGGGCGCAAGCCUGAUUGCAGCCAUGCCGCGUGUAUGAAGAAGGCCUUUCGGGUUGUAAAGUAACUUUCAGCGGGGAAGAAAGGGAGUUAUAGUUAAUACCUUUGCUCAUCGACGUUACCCGCAGAAGAAGCACCGGCUAACUCCGUGCCAGCAGCCGCGGUAAUACGGAGGGUGCAAGCGUUAAUCGGAAUUACUGGGCGUAAAGCGCACGCAGGCGGUUUGUUAAGUCAGAUGUGAAAUCCCCGGGCUCAACCUGGGUACUGCAUCUGAUACUGGCAAGCUUGAGUCUCGUAGAGGGGGGUAGUAUUCCAGGUGUAGCGGUGAUAUGCGUAGAGAUCUGGAGGAAUACCGGUGGC
rnacentral:rRNA from 1 species